rnacentral:rRNA from 1 species
UACGCACGCUGGCGGCGUGCUUAACACAUGCAAGUCGAACGGAAAGGCCCCUUUGGGGGUACUCGAGUGGCGAACGGGUGAGUAACACGUGAGUAACCUGCUCUUGAAUUCGGGAUAACUUCAGGAAACUGGGGCUAAUACCGGAUAGGAAUCCUUGCUGCAUGGUGGGGGUUGGAAAGCUUCGGCGGUUUUGGAUGGACUCGCGGCGUAUCAGCUUGUUGGUGGGGUAGUGGCUUACCAAGGCUUUGACGGGUAGCCGGCCUGAGAGGGCGACCGGCCACAUUGGGACUGAGAUACGGCCCAGACUCCUACGGGAGGCAGCAGUGGGGAAUAUUGCACAAUGGGCGGAAGCCUGAUGCAGCAACGCCGCGUGCGGGAUGACGGCCUUCGGGUUGUAAACCGCUUUCAGCAGGGGCGAAGCUUGUGGUGACGGUACCUGCAGAAGAAGCACCGGCUAACUACGUG